UACUCUCGCUCAGUUCUCGUAGCCAGGUCGGCGAAACAACUGUCAUGGUUCCGUGUGUUGUACGUGCAUAGUGUUCAGCUAAAGUCCAUCCGUCCGGGUUUGCGUAAUUUCGUGGCAAAGUGAAAGUCCUUCGCUUUUGUGUGUUGUGCCGUGCGUGUAGUUUGUUACUGUGAAUCCAUCCGCACCUCAAUGUGUCCGUACAACGUCACCAAUCGUGAAGAAAAUUGGCGACAAUAGAAAUGCAUCAUCCAUUUUGGCUGGUCGUUCGGUUACCAUGCUUUGCGGUUGAAACAUGUGCUUUGUGAAGAAAACCUAAGUGUGUACUUGUGUACGUGUGUACCUGUGUGUGUGCGAGAGAGUUUGUGUAUUACUUUGUGUGAAUGUUCGGAAAAGCUGUACCGGCUUUCAAAGCAAAUUUCCUCUACUGCCCCCAAAACGUGUUCGGUUUGAAGUGUGUGCGCGGCGGCGUGUGUGUUAACACAGUUUAACCCGACGGGGUGUUGUUCGUGGCACGGUCGACCAGCGGGAGGAAGGAAGAGGCGGAGGGCUCCCCAGACACGCUAGCGACAGUUCCUGGCGGGCCGUGCAAAAUGGGGCACCACCAGAAGAUGAAGGUUACUAGCGCGUGGCUUCUGACAUUGCUCGUCCUUGUGCCGCCGUCGUUCGGUGCCGGGGCAACCGACAAGCUGGAAAAGCUGGCGAUGCAAGAAGCGAAAGAGCAUGUGCUAAAGAACAACAUGGUGCUGGAGCCGACACUUACCACAACCACCACCAUCACUACGGCAGGCAGGUUGGCGUCCGGCAACGGUACCACCGGUGGGGCCGCGGGUGCGGCCAAAUCGACGACAGGACUCCCGAGCGAAUUUAAUAUGACUCUCCAGUGCGCUGAACGUCAAUUUCGCUGCGGCAGUGGCCAAUGCAUCCAUAUAAGUUUCGUGUGCGACGGCGAAGAUGAUUGUAACGACGGUAGUGAUGAGGAUGUACACGUGUGCAAAAUUACAGAGAGCUCCUGUCCCGGUGACAAAUUCCGCUGCAAGAACGGUAGGUGUAUCCUGAAGCGUUGGCAGUGUGACGGUGAACGAGACUGUGCCGACGGUUCGGACGAGGACGCCCAGCAAUGCCAGAGCAAAGUGUGCUCGUCGGAGGAAUUUACGUGUCGCAGUGGAACCGGCAACUGCAUCCCGCUGGGCUGGAUGUGCGACCAGAACCGGGACUGUGCCGAUGGGUCCGAUGAGAUGUCCUGCAAUGAAACCUGCCGAUCGGAUGAGUUCACCUGUGGCAACGGGCGCUGCAUCCAGAAGCGCUGGGUGUGCGACCACGAUGACGACUGUGGCGAUAAGACGGACGAGGACAACUGCCCAACCACGACGUGCGAUCCGCUGAAACAGUUCGCCUGUGCGGAGAACUAUUGCAUCACCAGCAAGUGGCGCUGCGAUGGCGAACCCGACUGUCCGGAUGGUUCCGACGAGCGGGGAUGUGCAAAUCCACCACCGCCUACGUUCUCCACCUGUCUGCCGCUGGAAUACCAAUGCAACGAUCGCAUCACCUGCAUCCAUCGGAGCUGGAUCUGCGACGGGGAGAAGGAUUGCCCGCGCGGGGACGAUGAAAUGCCACCGAUCUGUCAGAAUGUGACCUGCCGCUCGGACCAGUUCCAGUGCAAGAAGGACAAAACGUGCAUCAACGGUCACUUUGCCUGUAACGGCAAGAACGACUGUUCGGACGGUAGCGACGAGCAGAACUGUGGUGUGAACGUUCGCAGUGAGAAAUGCAACCCGAAGACAGAGUUCGAUUGCGGCGGUGGCAUGUGCAUACCGCUGGCGAAGGUUUGCGACCAGAACCCCGACUGUCCCGAGUUUCAGGACGAGCCGGCCGACAAGUGCGGCAAGAACGAAUGUCUGCAGGGUAACGGUGGCUGCUCGCAGCUUUGCGUGGACACACCAGCCGGCUUCUACUGCGACUGUAAACCGGGCUUUAAGCUGGCCGACAAUCGGACGUGUGUCGACAUCGAUGAGUGCGAAGAGCCCGGCUCCUGCUCCCAGAGCUGCAUCAAUGAGAUCGGUACGUUCAAGUGCGAGUGUAUGGACAACUAUCUGCGCGAUCCGCGCGAUCACACCCGGUGUAAGCCGAAGGAGGGUCACGCUUCGCUACUGUUUGCCCGCCGCCACGACAUUCGCAAGAUUUCGCUCGACCACCGUGAGAUGACGUCGAUCGUGAACGACACCAAGUCGGCCACUGCGCUAGACUUUGUGUUUCGUACUGGCAUGAUCUACUGGAGUGAUGUGUCGGAGAAGCGCAUUUACAAGGCACCGAUUGACGAAGGGUCAGACAAGACGGUCGUAGUGAAGGACCAGCUCGUUACCUCGGACGGACUGGCGGUGGAUUGGAUCUACAAUCACAUCUACUUUACCGACAUCAAAAAGUCAACCAUCGAGCUGACGAACUUCGACGGCAACAUGGGCAAGGUGUUGAUCCAGGACGAUUUGGAAAUUCCGCGUGCGAUUGCGCUGGACCCUAUCGACGGUUGGAUGUACUGGACCGAUUGGGGCACCAAUCCAAGAAUUGAGCGUGCUGGUAUGGACGGUACCCACCGGCAAGUGAUUGUCAGCUACGAGGUGAAGUGGCCGAACGGAAUCACGCUGGAUUUGGUGCGAAAGCGUGUGUAUUGGGUCGAUGCGAAGCUGAACGUCAUCUCGUCCUGCAACUACGACGGCUCCAAGCGCUCGGUAAUACUGUACUCGGCCGACUAUCUGCGACAUCCGUUCUCGAUCACCACGUUCGAGGAUUACGUGUACUGGACCGAUUGGGACAAGGAGGCCGUCUUUAAGGCGAACAAAUUCACCGGCAAAGACGUAGAGCCGGUAACGGCAAUGCAUAUGCUGCAACAUCCGAUGACGAUUCACGUGUACCACCCGUACCGCCAGCCGGACGGCGUCAACCACUGUCAGGCGGUGAACGGCCACUGUUCGCAUCUGUGCCUGCCGGCGCCCCAAAUUAACGCCAACAGUCCGAAGAUUUCCUGCGCCUGCCCGACCGGCCUGAAGCUGAUGAGCGACAGCUUGAUGUGCGUGGAGGACGAAAAACCCACGGCCGGGCCGGCGGGCGAGGAUGGCACGAGCAGCGGCCGGAUCGAUAGCAACAAUGCGACGAUGCGAAAUGGUACGGACGGUACGAUCAUCCACCCGGGCGUGGUCGAGAAGGACUCCGGCCAGGUGGCCCUCGUUGCCAUCGUCAUCGUUUCGUUGGUGUUGGUCAUCGUCGGAUUGAUUGUGUUCGUUCUCUACCGGCACUACACGCAUCGAAACUCGACCACGAUGAACUUUGACAAUCCGGUGUACCGAAAAACGACCGAGGACCAGUUCAGCCUGGAGAAGAACAUACAGAGCCGCAUGUACCCGAGCACCGUCGGCGAAGAGAUAAAUACGUUUCACUAUCGCACAUGAAUCAGUGUGUGCUGUGUUUGUCGGAACAGUAGCUUAGACGUUAAUUAAAAGUAUCCGGAUUAGGACAGCGGAAGGAUGUAAGGGAAACUGCGGCAAAAAAAAAAUUCCGAACGGAAAAAAGAGAGAAAGAAAGAGAGAGGGAGGGAGUGAAAGACAAAGAAGUAACAAAGCGCAACGCGGGCUAACCGUGGCCUGCCUCCUCCAAAAACGCACCUCUGUACAGUCCACUAUCAAGACCACUAUCAAGACCACCACACACUAGCAAGAUCGUCAUCAUCCGCUGCUGCCAAAAAAAUCAUCUGCCCUCGAUUGCACGUAAUUUAUGUGUGUGCUGUCUGUGUGUGUGCGUGGGUGUGUGUGUGUGGUUAGAGCUUUUUCUUCGACACGAAACGAUCACGCCAAACUGCACAACCAUCAGCACAAAUGACGGCGUUGGUGAACUUCUGCCGCACGCUCUAACUGCUCAACCAGCCUGCGCUCACAGAUACGCACACUCACAUACACCACCGUCGCGCACACUUACCGAAGGACACACACCGGAUGUGUCCCCGCUCAUCCCGACCACACGCGGGAAGGCACAGGAACCACUGACCCGGCCGGCCACCAACGAUUUUGUGUGAGCGAUGCGACCCGCGGCACUGACCAAAAACCAAAAUGCGCACAAAAUUUCAACGUGGCUGUUAAGCAGUAAGCAGUUAAACGGAUAAGCAGAAGCAAAGAGUGAAGCAACAACAAACCCCACCCGCUCAAAUAUUAAGCUAAAUUAAAAACGGUGGUAGUAAGCAGUAGAGAAGAAGAAGAAGAAGAAGAAAAAGAAGAAGAAGAAGAAGAAGAAGAAGAAGAAGAAGAAGAACAACUAGAAGAAGACUAAGAAGAAAGCAAAAACAAUUCUGCAUCUUUGUCCUAACCGAGCGACGGAAGUCAAACCAACCAACAACUCAAAAUAGUUUCCGAUCAAGCUCUCAAUCAAAACCAGUUAAACCUGUGUAAUUGUGUGCAAUAUUAAGUUAAAAUCAAAGCAAAGCAAACAUACAAAUACUCACCAACCAGGAACGGCAACAGUAGUAGUAAGGGAAGACCAUUCGAGGCGACGAAUACGAUUUAUGAUCCUUUUUUUUCUAACACGAUUAAUUUCUAAUACGAUUGAUUAAUGCCUGUACACACUUCAAACAGAUUCUACCGACCGGGCUAUGUUAGCUAAGUUUGUGCCUUAUUGUUUUUUUGAUUCUUCAUCUGUGUGACAGUUAAACCCCAUCCCUAUUUACUACACACACACACACAUUAGCACAUUCAGCCUGUUUAGUGAUAGGGCACAGAGGAUUCUCACCUUCCCUAAGACAGUUGGCGCACAUGAUCGUGGAGUGUUUGGAGUGUACAAGUCGCUCGAAGGCUUCGAGCUAUACGCAAGAAAGUACGCCAACUGUUUCAGAAAAUGUGAAAAUUCCUUCAAGUUUAGUAAUUGGUUUUCCCCUUCCUUUCCUUUUCGAAUGAUUUGCUGCUAUCAAGUUGCGACCGAUCAAACGAUCACGCACUGUUGUACCCACGAGAGUGGGAGGGCAGUAAAUCGACCAAAGGAAAGGGUUCACAACAGCUCUACUCUUGUAUUGUAAAGUCAAAUUUCAGCUUCAAGUUAGUUUAAAUUUAGAUAGUGGAAAACGGUUGACAGUAAGCAUAGCUCGCUCGAAACGCUGAGGUCCGGUUUGCUGCGGUGGUCAAUGUUUGUUAGCAAAAUCUAUUCGGGAAACGGUGAUCAGGUGUGUGUGUGUGGGGGGCAGUUUAUGCUCCAGCGCGGUGACGUUUAUUUAAGGGUGUUACUUUACAGCGUGUUUUAAGGUACAGCAGAAGUAAAGGCUGUAUAAAGGAGGAGGUGAGAAAACUCCCACAGGAAGUUAGAAGUUCCGACGCCGGAUAGGGAAGGCAGAUGAUCCACCUGGAUGGAUCGGGUGCGUCCAAUUAAUAGUCCCGACUAACUAGAACGGUAGUUGUAAAUACACGUAGUUCUUUAUGUUUUUUUGGUUGAA